UACGGAGGGUGCAAGCGUUAUCCGGAUUCACUGGGUUUAAAGGGUGCGUAGGUGGGCAGGUAAGUCAGUGGUGAAAUCUUUGGGCUUAACCCAGAAACUGCCAUUGAUACUAUCUUUCUUGAAUACCGUGGAGGUCAGCGGAAUAUGUCAUGUAGCGGUGAAAUGCUUAGAUAUGACAUAGAACACCAAUUGCGAAGGCAGCUGGCUACACGAAUAUUGACACUGAUGCACGAAAGCGUGGGGAUCAAACAGG
rnacentral:rRNA from 1 species